UGGGGAAUUUUGGACAAUGGGGGCAACCCUGAUCCAGCAAUGCCGCGUGUGUGAAGAAGGCCUUCGGGUUGUAAAGCACUUUUGUCCGGAAAGAAAUCCCUUGCCCUAAUACGGUGGGGGGAUGACGGUACCGGAAGAAUAAGCACCGGCUAACUACGUGCCAGCAGCCGCGGUAAUACGUAGGGUGCAAGCGUUAAUCGGAAUUACUGGGCGUAAAGCGUGCGCAGGCGGUCCGCUAAGACAGAUGUGAAAUCCCCGGGCUUAACCUGGGAACUGCAUUUGUGACUGGCGGGCUAGAGUAUGGCAGAGGGGGGUAGAAUUCCACGUGUAGCAGUGAAAUGCGUAGAGAUGUGGAGGAAUACCGAUGGCGAAGGCAGCCCCCUGGGCCAAUACUGACGCUCAUGCACGAAAGCGUGGGUAGCAAACAGGAUUAGAUACCCUGGUAGUCCACGCCCUAAACGAUGCAUAUUUGGUGUAGGUCAUUCAGUUGAUCUGUGCCGGAGCUAACGCGUUAAAUAG
rnacentral:rRNA from 1 species